rnacentral:rRNA from 1 species
GACAGAGGAUGCAAGCGUUAUCCGGAAUGAUUGGGCGUAAAGCGUCUGUAGGUGGCUUUUUAAGUCUGCCGUCAAAUCCCAGGGCUUAACCCUGGACAGGCGGUGGAAACUACCAAGCUGGAGUACGGUAGGGGUAGGGGGAAUUUCCGGUGGAGCGGUGAAAUGCGUAGAGAUCGGAAAGAACACCAACGGCGAAAGCACUCUGCUGGGCCGACACUGACACUGAGAGACGAAAGCUAGGGGAGCGAAUGGG